GCCAGACUCCUACGGGAGGCAGCAGUGGGGGAUAUUGCACAAUGGGGGGAACCCUGAUGCAGCGACGCCGCGUGAGUGAAGAAGUAUUUCGGUAUGUAAAGCUCUAUCAGCAGGGAAGAAGAAAGACGGUACCUGAGUAAGAAGCCCCGGCUAACUACGUGCCAGCAGCCGCGGUAAUACGUAGGGGGCAAGCGUUAUCCGGAUUUACUGGGUAUAAAGGGAGCGUAGACGGUAUGGCAAGUCUGAAGUGAAAGCCCCGGGCUCAACCUGGGAAUUGCUUUGGAAACUGUUAAACUAGAGUGCUGGAGAGGCAGGCGGAAUUCCUAGUGUAGCGGUGAAAUGCGUAGAUAUUAGGAGGAACACCAGUGGCGAAGGCGGCCUGCUGGACAGUAACUGACGUUGAGGCUCGAAAGCGUGGGGAGCAAACAGGAUUAGAUACCCCCGUAU
rnacentral:rRNA from 1 species